rnacentral:lncRNA from 1 species
CCCAGGAGGGCAGUGGGGACGCUGAGCCCCACGCGUGGCUCCGCCGCGACCCGGGGGACACGAGGAGCCCCCACAGCAGCCCCACACCGGGACUGGAAGCAUCCAGGCCCCCCGGGGGGGCUGGAGGGGGGGCACACAAAAGCAGCCGGGCUCCUGUGGGCCCCCCCCCGGGCACCUCCAGGGCCCGGCCCGGUUCCCCCCAAGGCCGGGGCCGCCCCCUCAGGGCCCCCCCAGGCCGGCGCCCCCCUCACCCCCCGGCCCGGCCCCGCCGCCCCCUCCUCAAGCCGGGUCCCCCGAGGCCGAGGUUCCCCCCCCGGGGGGCUCCGCGCCCCCCCUGGGCCUCCUCAGGUCCCCCCUCAGGCCCCGCCGCCCCCCGCCGGGCCCCGCCUGGCAGCCAUCCCCCCGCUCCUUCCCCGCUGCAGGCCGCGGGCCCGGCCCCCUCCCUCUUCUCCCUUUCCCAGGCCUCAGAUCCCGGUCCCCUCGGCCUCUCCCCAAGCCCCGCCGGGUCCCGGUGCCGCCCGGUGGGAGCGGCGCAGGCCCCGCUCCCCGCCACCGACCUCCUCCUCCUCCUCCUCGCCGCCAACUCUCUGGCGCCGGUCCGCCGCCGCUCCAGGACUACAACUCCCAGCAGCCCCCGCGAGGCGCUUCCGGGGCGCGGCCCCGCCGGGCGAAGCGGCGCUUCCGCCGCCGCGCCAAGGGUUGGGGAGCGCGAAGCCCGCGGGGGGCGGGGCCUGUUGCCAUGGCAACGGCGGGAGCCUGCGGCCCUCAGGCGCUGCUGAGGCGGGAGGGAGGGGGGGGAAAGGGGGGGGGGCUCCUGCGCUGUGGGGCCCUGUGGUGGGGUUCACCUCAGGGAGCUCUCCUCAGGGAUCUCUCCUCGGGGAGCUCACCUCAGGGAUCUCUCCUCAGGGAGCUCACCUCAUGGAGCUCUCCUCAGGGAUCUCACCUCAGGGAUCUCUCCUCGGGGAUCUCUCCUCGGGGAUCUCUCCUCAGGGAUCCCACCUCAGGGAUCUCACCUCAGGGAUCUCACCUCGGGGAUCUCCCCUCGGGGAUCCCACCUCAGGGAUCUCUCCUCAGGGAUCUCACCUCAGGGAUCUCUCCUCAGGGAUCCCACCUCAGGGAUCUCACCUCAGGGAGCUCUCCUCAGGGAUCUCUCCUCAGGGAUCCCACCUCAGGGAGCUCUCCUCAGGGAGCUCUCCUCAGGGAUCUCACCUCAGGGAUCUCUCCUCAGGGAGCUCUCCUCAGGGAUCUCUCCUCAGGGAUCUCUCCUCGGGGAUCUCAGUGAGAGCCUCACAGAGCAGUGUCUGUCCCCUCUUCUGGCUUAUUGUGAGCAGUCACCUCGUGAAACUGUCACAAAGUCCCAAAAUCACCCAGGUUGGAUCAGCCAGUCCAAGCUCUGAGCUAACACUAACCAGUCCUCCACUAAACCAUAUCACCAAGCUCUACAUCUGA